rnacentral:rRNA from 1 species
UACGUAGGUGGCAAGCGUUGUCCGGAAUUAUUGGGCGUAAAGCGCGUGUAGGCGGCUUUGCAAGUCGGGUGUGAAAGCCCUCAGCUCAACUGAGGAAGUGCGCCCGAAACUGCAGAGCUUGAGUGCCGGAGAGGGUGGCGGAAUUCCCCAAGUAGAGGUGAAAAUUCGUAGAUAUGGGGAGGAACACCGGUGGCGAAGGCGGCCACCUGGACGGUAACUGACGGCUGAGACGCGAAAGCGUGGGGAGCAAACAGG